rfam:Peniophora sp. CONT PENSPscaffold_218_Cont313, whole genome shotgun sequence.
GGUGGUAUAGUGUAGUGGUUAUCACUCUGGAUUUUGAUUAGCCUUGAUUUCCAGGAACCCAGGUUCGAACCCUGGUACUACCU